rnacentral:snRNA from 1 species
GUGCUUGCUUUGGUAACACAUAUACUAAAAUUAGAACAAUACAGAGAAGAUUAGCAUGGCCCUGCAAAAAGAUGACAUGCAAAUUCGUGAAGUGUUCCAUAUUUUU